GACGAACCUUGCAAACGUUAUUCGGAAUCACUGGGCUUAAAGGGUGCGUAGGCUGUGCAGCAAGUUGGGUGUGAAAUACCUCGGCUUAACCGAGGAAUUGCGCCCAAAACUACUGUGCUCGAGGAAGAUAGAGGUGAGCGGAACUUAGGGUGGAGCGGUGAAAUGCGUUGAUAUCCUAAGGAACACCGGUGGCGAAAGCGGCUCACUGGAUCUUAUCUGACGCUGAGGCACGAAAGCCAGGGUAGCAAACGGG
rnacentral:rRNA from 1 species